CACAUUUCCUCAUCAGAUGGACUGAAUCUCAGGAGGUGUCCAGAGAGUGAGACACAGACACAGUUUAGGAUCUCUGGGCUAAUGAGCCGACAGCAGCAGGGCAGCGCUGACAGAGAUGACAGUGAGAAACAGCAGCAGCAGCAGCGCAGCCCUCAUCCUGUAAAAAAACACAGCAGAGGCAAAA